UAGCAAGAAAGGGAAUUGAACCCCCAACCCUACGAUUAUGAAACGUAUGCUCCACCAUUGAGCUAUCUUGCC
rnacentral:tRNA from 1 species